UACGUAGGGGGCAAGCGUUAUCCGGAUUUACUGGGUGUAAAGGGAGCGCAGGCGGUAUGGCAAGUCAGAUGUGAAAACCCAGGGCUCAACCCUGGGACUGCAUUUGAAACUGCCAUACUGGAGUGCCGGAGAGGUAAGUGGAAUUCCUAGUGUAGCGGUGAAAUGCGUAGAUAUUAGGAGGAACACCAGUGGCGGAGGCGGCUUACUGGACGGUAACUGACGCUGAGGCUCGAAAGCGUGGGGAGCAAACA
rnacentral:rRNA from 1 species